AGUCGAACGGUAACAGGAAGCAGCUUGCUGCUUUGCUGACGAGUGGCGGACGGGUGAGUAAUGUCUGGGAAACUGCCUGAUGGAGGGGGAUAACUACUGGAAACGGUAGCUAAUACCGCAUAACGUCGCAAGACCAAAGAGGGGGACCUUCGGGGCCUCUUGCCAUCGGAUGUGCCCAGAUGGGAUUAGCUAGUAGGUGGGGUAAAGGCUCACCUAGGCGACGAUCCCUAGCUGGUCUGAGAGGAUGACCAGCCACACUGGAACUGAGACACGGUCCAGACUCCUACGGGAGGCAGCAGUGGGGAAUAUUGCACAAUGGGCGCAAGCCUGAUGCAGCCAUGCCGCGUGUAUGAAGAAGGCCUUCGGGUUGUAAAGUACUUUCAGCGGGGAGGAAGGGAGUAAAGUUAAUACCUUUGCUCAUUGACGUUACCCGCAGAAGAAGCACCGGCUAACUCCGUGCCAGCAGCCGCGGUAAUACGGAGGGUGCAAGCGUUAAUCGGAAUUACUGGGCGUAAAGCGCACGCAGGCGGUUUGUUAAGUCAGAUGUGAAAUCCCCGGGCUCAACCUGGGAACUGCAUCUGAUACUGGCAAGCUUGAGUCUCGUAGAGGGGGGUAGAAUUCCAGGUGUAGCGGUGAAAUGCGUAGAGAUCUGGAGGAAUACCGGUGGCGAAGGCGGCCCCCUGGACGAAGACUGACG
rnacentral:rRNA from 1 species